rnacentral:lncRNA from 1 species
GGAGAAGACGUGAUUCAGUAUCUGCGCGACGGUUCCUGCGGUUCCGUUAAGCGGCUCUACGGAGCGACAGGACUUAGGACCAUGAAAUGCGCCCGCGCUCUACACCCAGCAUGGGACUUGAACUGACAAGAGGUCCAAACAAAUAUGAUUCUUUUGUCAAGGUCAAGAGUCACAUGUUCCCCCAACUGAGCCAGCCAUGUACCCGCGUUAUUGUCAAUUUUUUAAAGGUGUGAUAAUGUUAUUGUUGUUGCAGAUUAAAAAAAAAAAAAAAAAAAAAAAGAGCCC